AACCCUGUGCACUGAAGGAGAGACAGAAGAUAGCCAGGAGGUGGAGACCAUCUGCAGAACCGGAGCAGUGCACGGGAAGCAAGUUAUAAUUUUACAUUCUUGUGUAGGAAUGUAGACAGAAUCUUGAUGCUCCUACAAAGGUUCAUUUGGUCAUCAGAAAGUCAGAAUGCUGGGCACCUGUAUCACAGAAUGGAAAAGUGGGAAAAUAUACUAUCAACAACCAGACCUCUGAUCAAGGGCCGAGAUAAUCUAGAGCUGAGAGGAGGAAAAGAGGACAUCACUUGGAUUUAAGCUCAUCUUUCUCAUAAUUGAACAGUGAUAUAUUAAAUGAGAAGGCAGUUGGAGAGGGUAAGCAUCAUAUGCUUGGCUGUAUCAUCUGGAAUGGAGAAGUGUCUGCGAAGGAAGACACAAAUUUUACAUCCUUGUGUUGGACAAAUGAAGGCUACCCUCUCACACUGGGCAAAAUAUUAGAAUCACUAAUCUGGAGCUGGCACUAAAGGCAGAAGCCUGCUUCUCUCAGAGUGAGAUUUCUGCUUUACAGGUAAGAUGCUUAUCAGUGGCAAUAGAUCUUGGUCUCUUGACUUGCCACACCUAAUGUGGAACCUCCACCCAAUGAUUGAG